rnacentral:rRNA from 1 species
UUGACCUCAAAUCAGGUAGGACUACCCGCUGAACUUAG